GGGAACAUAAGAAACAUCAGGGACAUGAAAGGAGUCAGAUAAGAGAGUACCAUGUCCUACAACAGGAAGAGAAGAACCAUCGGCUGUAUGAACAGUGGGAGAACCAGAUGGAGAACGUAUGGAAGAAAGACAGGUGCAAUAAGGAGUCAUAUGAAAUGAAGCACCAGAAUCAAGAAUCCAUGGGCAAAUACCUGGAGUAGACGUGGAAGGUGGUCCCAGAGUGGAAGACUGAGAAGCAGCAGCAAAACCUGGUAGGUGCAAAAGGCUGAGUCACAGAACCCGCAGCUCCUGGUGGCAUAGAGGAGACAAGGUGACUGAGCAACCUGAUGAUCUCCUAUGUCUCAGAACUAGCAGAACUCCUCUGAGGACCUCCAAAACCAGAACCACCAGUACCACUAGUACCCUGUGAAGAACGACCACCUCGGCGAGACUGAGCCUGACAAGACUGAGCCUUCUUCUUCCUGUAACA
rnacentral:lncRNA from 1 species